rnacentral:rRNA from 1 species
CCAAUAGCGUAUAUUAAAGUUGUUGCAGUUAAAAAGCUCGUAGUUGAAUUUCGGGGUCAGUAGGUUGGUCGUGCCACUGGUAUGUACUGGUCUCACUGAUUCCUCCUUCCUGAUGAGCCGUAAUGCCAUUAAUUUGGUGUUGCAGGGAAUCUGGACUGUUACUUUGAAAAAAUUAGAGUGUUUAAAGCAGGCUAACGCUUGAAUACAUUAGCAUGGAAUAAUGAAAUAGGACGUUCGAUCUUAUUUUGUUGGUUUCUAGGAUUGACGUAAUGAUUAAUAGGGAUAGUUGGGGGCAUUAGUAUUCAAUUGUCAGAGGUGAAAUUCUUGGAUUUAUUGAAGACUAACUACUGCGAAAGCAUUUGCCAAGGAUGUUUUCAUUAAUCAAGAACGAAAGUUAGGGGAUCGAAGACGAUCAGAUACCGUCGUAGUCUUAACCAUAAACUAUGCCGACUAGGGAUCGGAUGAUGUUAAUUUUUUAAUGACUCAUUCGGCGCCUUACG